rnacentral:rRNA from 1 species
GACGAACGCUGGCGGCGUGCCUAAUACAUGCAAGUAGAACGCUGAAGGAAGGAGCUUGCUCUUUCCGGAUGCNUUGCGAACGGGUGAGUAACGCGUAGGUAACCUGCCUGGUAGCGGGGGAUAACUAUUGGAAACGAUAGCUAAUACCGCAUAACAGUAGAUAUCGCAUGAUAGCUGCUUAAAAGGUGCAAUUGCACCACUACCAGAUGGACCUGCGUUGUAUUAGCUAGUUGGUGAGGUAACGGCUCACCAAGGCCACGAUACAUAGCCGACCUGAGAGGGUGAUCGGCCACACUGGGACUGAGACACGGCCCAGACUCCUACGGGAGGCAGCAGUAGGGAAUCUUCGGCAAUGGACGGAAGUCUGACCGAGCAACGCCGCGUGAGUGAAGAAGGUUUUCGGAUCGUAAAGCUCUGUUGUAAGAGAAGAACGAGUGUGAGAGUGGAAAGUUCACAUUGUGACGGUAUCUUACCAGAAAGGGACGGCUAACUACGUGCCAGCAGCCGCGGUAAUACGUAGGUCCCGAGCGUUGUCCGGAUUUAUUGGGCGUAAAGCGAGCGCAGGCGGUUAGAUAAGUCUGAAGUUAAAGGCUGUGGCUUAACCAUAGUACGCUUUGGAAACUGUUUAACUUGAGUGCAAGAGGGGAGAGUGGAAUUCCAUGUGUAGCGGUGAAAUGCGUAGAUAUAUGGAGGAACACCGGUGGCGAAAGCGGCUCUCUGGCUUGUAACUGACGCUGAGGCUCGAAAGCGUGGGGAGCAAACAGG